GGGAAACCUGGGGGUGCCCCGCAAGGGGAGCCUGGAGACAGGUGUUGCAUGGCUGUCGUCAGCUCGUGUCGUGAGAUGUUGGGUUAAGUCCCGCAACGAGCGCAACCCUCACGCGAUGUUGCCAGCGUAAAGUCGGGCACUCUUCGCGAACUGCCCGGGUAACCGGGAGGAAGGUGGGGAUGACGUCAAGUCGGCAUGGCCCUUACGUCCUGGGCUUCACACAUGCUACAAUGGGCGCGACAGAGGGCUGCGAACCCGCGAGGGUAAGCCAAUCCCAAAAAGGCGCUCUCAGUUCGGAUUGCAGGCUGCAACUCGCCUGCAUGAAGGUGGAAUCGCUAGUAACCGCCGGUCAGCUAAACGGCGGUGAAUACGUUCCCGGGCCUUGUACACACCGCCCGUCACGUCACCUGAGUCUG
rnacentral:rRNA from 1 species